rnacentral:rRNA from 1 species
UAAGCAUAUCAAUAAGCGGAGGAAAAGAAACCAACAGGGAUUGCCCUAGUAACGGCGAGUGAAGCGGCAACAGCUCAAAUUUGAAAUCUGGCCCUAGCGGUCCGAGUUGUAAUUUGUAGAGGAUGCUUUUGGUUAGGUGCCUUCUGAGUUCCCUGGAACGGGACGCCAGAGAGGGUGAGAGCCCCGUACGGUUGGACACCGAGCCUCUAUAUAGCUCCUUCGACGAGUCGAGUAGUUUGGGAAUGCUGCUCUAAAUGGGAGGUAAAUUUCUUCUAAAGCUAAAUACCGGCCAGAGACCGAUAGCGCACAAGUAGAGUGAUCGAAAGAUGAAAAGUACUUUGAAAAGAGGGUUAAAUAGCACGUGAAAUUGUUGAAAGGGAAGCGUUUGCGACCAGACUUUUUCCAGGCGGAUCAUCCGGUGUUCUCACCGGUGCACUUCGCCUGGUUUAGGCCAGCAUCGGUUCUCUUAGGGGGAUAAAGGCCUGGGGAACGUAGCUCCUUCGGGAGUGUUAUAGCCCCUAGCGUAAUACCCUUCGGGGGACCGAGAACGCGC